AGCCAGACGCGGGGCUCCCCGGCCCACAUGUCUCUGCUGGCGGAAGCCUUAGUUUCGCAGAUGGCAGCUACAGAACCUUGGCCAGAAAAUGCUACAUUAUAUCAGCAACUGAAAGGGAACAAAUUUUGCUUUCUGAUAAUGCAGCUUCUCUUGCUGUGCAGACCUUUUUGCCGAUGUGUAAUUUGCCUAUAAAAGUGGUUUGUAGGGCAAAUGCAGAAUAUAUGUCUCCAUCUGGGUCAUUGUCUUAGUGAUGGAUUGGAUGACGGUCCAAAAAGCAGAAAUGAAAGCUUAUAUGGAAUUAGUCAACAAUAUGCUUUUGACUGCAGAGUUGUAUCUUCAGUGGUGUGAUGAAGCUACAGUAGAGGAGAUUACUCAUUCUAGGUAUGGGUCUCCUUACUCAUGGCCUCUGAAUCAUAUUUUGACCUACCAGAAACAGUGGGAAGUCAAACAUAAGAUGAAAGCUAUUGAAUGGGACAACAAGACCCUGGACCAAGUCUUAGAAGAUGUAGACCAGUGCUGUCAAGCUCUUUCUCAAAGACUGGGAACACAACCAUAUUUCUUCAACAAGCAACCUACUGAACUUGAUGCCCUGGUAUUUGGCCAUCUGUACACCAUUCUCACCACUCGACUGACCAAUGAUGAACUUUCUGAGAAGGUGAAAAACUAUAGUAACCUCCUUGCUUUCUGUAGAAGAAUUGAACAGCACUACUUUGAAGAUCGUGGUCAAUGCAGGUUGUCUUAG